rnacentral:piRNA from 1 species
UAAACACAUGGAAACUUGAAUGGGCCUCA